rnacentral:rRNA from 1 species
GCCCAGACUCCUACGGGAGGCAGCAGUGAGGAAUAUUGGUCAAUGGGCGGGAGCCUGAACCAGCCAAGCCGCGUGAGGGAAGAAGGUACAGCGUAUCGUAAGCCUCUUUUGUCAGGGAACAAAGGCGGGGACUAGUCCCCGGAUGAGGGUACCUGAAGAAAAAGCAUCGGCUAACUCCGUGCCAGCAGCCGCGGUAAUACGGAGGAUGCGAGCGUUAUCCGGAUUUAUUGGGUUUAAAGGGUGCGCAGGCGGCUUGUUAAGUCAGGGGUAAAAGCCGGGGGCCAAACCCCGGCGAGCCGUUGAAACUGGCGGGCUGGAGUUGGAGAGAAGUACGCGGAAUGCGCGGUGUAGCGGUGAAAUGCUUAGAUAUUGCGCAGAACUCCGAUUGCGAAGGCAGCAUACCGGCGGCGAUCUGACGCUGAGGCACGAAAGCGUGGGUAUCGAACAGGAUUAGAUACCCCUGUAC